CUGCCCCUGAGGAGUCCCACAAUAGGACGAAACGGCCGUCCAG
rnacentral:hammerhead_ribozyme from 1 species